CCUACGGGAGGCAGCAGUGGAGAAUACUUGCACAAUGGGCGCAAGCCUGAUGCAGCCAUGCCGCGUGUAUGAAGAAGGCCUUCGGGUUGUAAAGUACUUUCAGCGGGGAGGAAGGCAUUGUGCUUAAUAACCGCAGUGAUUGACGUUACCCGCAGAAGAAGCACCGGCUAACUCCGUGCCAGCAGCCGCGGUAAU
rnacentral:rRNA from 1 species